rnacentral:rRNA from 1 species
GGUUGAUCCUGCCAGUAGUCAUAUGCUUGUCUAAAAGAUUAAGCCAUGCAUGUCUAAGUAUAAGCAAACUUGUACUGUGAAACUGCGAACGGCUCAUUAAAUCAGUUAUAAUUUACUUGAUCGUAUUUCAUUCUACAUGGAUAACCGUAGGAAUUCUAGAGCUAAUACAUGAAAAAAAUCUGGACCUCUCCUUCUUUUUUUUGGAGUGGAAAGGAUGAAUUUAUUAGAUUACCAACCAACGCAGAGUAUUCCAAACUAUAUAGAACUUGUGUCUUUAUAGGCUCUGGUCUCAA